rnacentral:rRNA from 1 species
CCCUUAGAUGUUCUGGGCCGCACGCGCGCUACACUGAUCAGUGCAACAAGCAUCCGUCCUUGGCCGACAGGCCCGGGCAAUCUUUGAACGCUGAUCGUGAUGGGGAUAGACUUUUGCAAUUUUUGGUCUUCAACGAGGAAUUCCUAGUAAACGCAAGUCAUCAACUUGCAUUGAUUACGUCCCUGCCCUUUGUACACACCGCCCGCCGCACCUACCGAUUGAAUGGUCCGGUGAAGCCUCCGGAUUGGCGUGCACCCUCGGGUGCUGCCGAGAAGUUGGCUAAACCUUACCAUUUAGAGGAAGGUGAAGUCGUAACA